rnacentral:tRNA from 1 species
ACAUACAUAAUUUAUCGAGUAAAAUAAUUGAUUUCCAAUCAAUAGAGAUGGGUUCAACUCCCAUUGUGUGUA